AAUCCAUGAUGUGGGCAUAUCUUUAUUAGCGUUUUAAAAUGCUCCUAAGCUUCGUGAAAGCUCUCUCCCUUUAAUUGUUUAAACAUUGCGAUCUCUCUUCUCAGUUG
rfam:Gossypium hirsutum cultivar TM-1 chromosome 15, whole genome shotgun sequence